rnacentral:lncRNA from 1 species
ACUUCCAGCAUUGUCACACCAUGACAUGGGUCUCCUGAGACCACAUCUUUACUCUCUGUGUCUCUUAUUUGGCCAUAUCCACACUUGGACUGGGCUCCAGGCUUGUCAUUUUUCCACCACUGACUCUUCCUGGAAAAUUUAUCCUGAGGCUGCAUCUGUUCCUGAGAUGUUAGAAAUCUAUAGGGAGGGUUGAGCUGUUGUUGAUCACUGAUUAACUCCCCUUGAAUAUGUUGCUGGAGUCUUUUCUCUAGC